UAGAUAUCUCUGAAGACUGGAGUCCUCUGUUUAUCUAUAGAACAGGUGACAGUUUGGGUAGCAGCAAUGGAAGUUUUCUCUACACACUGCCCUAUUGAUGUCUCAAUCCUGAAUGGGAGGGACCAUGUCUAGAAGAGUCAUGUCAGUCCUUGACCUCUCCACUGAGAUGGA
ensembl:misc_RNA